rnacentral:rRNA from 1 species
ACCUAUAAGACUGGGAUAACUUCGGGAAACCGGAGCUAAUACCGGAUAAUAUUUUGAACCGCAUGGUUCAAAAGUGAAAGACGGUCUUGCUGUCACUUAUAGAUGGAUCCGCGCUGCAUUAGCUAGUUGGUAAGGUAACGGCUUACCAAGGCAACGAUGCAUAGCCGACCUGAGAGGGUGAUCGGCCACACUGGAACUGAGACACGGUCCAGACUCCUACGGGAGGCAGCAGUAGGGAAUCUUCCGCAAUGGGCGAAAGCCUGACGGAGCAACGCCGCGUGAGUGAUGAAGGUCUUCGGAUCGUAAAACUCUGUUAUUAGGGAAGAACAUAUGUGUAAGUAACUGUGCACAUCUUGACGGUACCUAAUCAGAAAGCCACGGCUAACUACGUGCCAGCAGCCGCGGUAAUACGUAGGUGGCAAGCGUUAUCCGGAAUUAUUGGGCGUAAAGCGCGCGUAGGCGGUUUUUUAAGUCUGAUGUGAAAGCCCACGGCUCAACCGUGGAGGGUCAUUGGAAACUGGAAAACUUGAGUGCAGAAGAGGAAAGUGGAAUUCCAUGUGUAGCGGUGAAAUGCGCAGAGAUAUGGAGGAACACCAGUGGCGAAGGCGACUUUCUGGUCUGUAACUGACGCUGAUGUGCGAAAGCGUGGGGAUCAAACAGGAUUAGAUACCCUGGUAGUCCACGCCGUAAACGAUGAGUGCUAAGUGUUAGGGGGUUUCCGCCCCUUAGUGCUGCAGCUAACGCAUUAAGCACUCCGCCUGGGGAGUACGACCGCAAGGUUGAAACUCAAAGGAAUUGACGGGGACCCGCACAAGCGGUGGAGCAUGUGGUUUAAUUCGAAGCAACGCGAAGAACCUUACCAAAUCUUGACAUCCUUUGACAACUCUAGAGAUAGAGCCUUCCCCUUCGGGGGACAAAGUGACAGGUGGUGCAUGGUUGUCGUCAGCUCGUGUCGUGAGAUGUUGGGUUAAGUCCCGCAACGAGCGCAACCCUUAAGCUUAGUUGCCAUCAUUAAGUUGGGCACUCUAAGUUGACUGCCGGUGACAAACCGGAGGAAGGUGGGGAUGACGUCAAAUCAUCAUGCCCCUUAUGAUUUGGGCUACACACGUGCUACAAUGGACAAUACAAAGGGCAGCGAAACCGCGAGGUCAAGCAAAUCCCAUAAAGUUGUUCUCAGUUCGGAUUGUAGUCUGCAACUCGACUACAUGAAGCUGGAAUCGCUAGUAAUCGUAGAUCAGCAUGCUACGGUGAAUACGUUCCCGGGUCUUGUACACACCGCCCGUCACACCACGAGAGUUUGUAACACCCGAAGCCGGUGGAGUAACCUUUUAGG